CUAACGUAGAUAAUCAGGUGACCUCGCGAAUAUCUUAAGAGGAGGAGUGAGUACCUUCCCUCCUCGGCGGAUCCGCCCGCCGAUUGGACAACAUUCAAACCCUUUGCAGUUGCAAUCAGCGUCUGAAAAAACAUAAUAGUUACAACUUUCAACAACGGAUCUCUUGGUUCUGGCAUCGAUGAAGAACGCAGCGAAAUGCGAUAAGUAGUGUGAAUUGCAGAAUUCAGUGAAUCAUCGAAUCUUUGAACGCACAUUGCGCCCCUUGGUAUUCCAUGGGGCAUGCCUGUUCGAGCGUCAUUUGUACCUUCAAGCUCUGCUUGGUGUUGGGUGUUUGUCUCGCCUCUGCGUGUAGACUCGCCUUAAAACAAUUGGCAGCCGGCGUAUUGAUUUCGGAGCGCAGUACAUCUCGCGCUUUGCACUCAUAACGACGACGUCCAAAAGUACAUUUUUACACUCUUGACCUCGGAUCAGGUAGGGAUACCCGCUGAACUUAAGCAUAU
rnacentral:rRNA from 1 species